rnacentral:rRNA from 1 species
AGUUCCUACGGGAGGCAGCAGUGAGGAAUAUUGGUCAAUGGCCGGAAGGCUGAACCAGCCAAGUCGCGUGAGGGAAGACUGCCCUAUGGGUUGUAAACCUCUUUUGUCAGGGAGCAACGCCGGCUACGUGUAGCCGGACUGAGAGUACCUGAAGAAAAAGCAUCGGCUAACUCCGUGCCAGCAGCCGCGGUAAUACGGAGGAUGCGAGCGUUAUCCGGAUUUAUUGGGUUUAAAGGGUGCGUAGGCGGAAUGCCAAGUCAGCGGGAAAAUCGCGGGGCUCACCCUCGCUCCGCCGUUGAAACUGG